AUGCAUACAGGCGGCGCCGCCGCGGGCGCUCCUCGAUCCAUACGGGCGGCUGGUCUUCUUCUCCAGCCAUCUGCCGCCCUUCUCCCCUUCCCAUUCGCUGCCCUACUCUACCCUCCCGCCCCUAAUCUUCUCUGGCACUACCCCCAGCCUCCUGCUGCCGUGCCUCGAUCCAUACAGGCGCCACCGCGCGGGGGGCGGUCUUCUUCUCCAGCCAUCCGCCGCCCUCCUCCCCUCCCCUCCCUCUUAAUAUUCUUCUUCUUCUCCGGCCAGCCGUCGCCCUCCUCAAAUCCCGCGGAGUUUGCCGGAGGAAGAACAUCCGCCGUCCGAAUGUGCUACACCAGAGGGAAGCACCGGAAAGAGGAUGUUUCUAUGCAGCAUAACCCAAAAGUUUAA
rnacentral:rRNA from 1 species